UACGUAGGCGGAAAAUUAAGUCAGUAGUGAAAUCCUGCAGCUUAACUGUAGAACUGUUAUUGAUACUGGUUUUCUUGAAUUUAGUUGAGGUAGGCGGAAUGUGUAAUGUAGCGGUGAAAUGCUUAGAUAUUACACAGAACACCGAUUGCGAAGGCAGCUUACUAAACUAUGAUUGACGCUGAGGUACGAAAGCGUGGGGAGCGAACAGGAUUAGAUACCCGCGUAGUCC
rnacentral:rRNA from 1 species